GAUGAACGCUAGCUACAGGCUUAACACAUGCAAGUCGAGGGGCAGCAGGGAUUUAGCUUGCUAAAUUCGCUGGCGACCGGCGCACGGGUGCGUAACGCGUAUCCAACUUUCCCGUUACUCUCGGAUAGCCUUCCGAAAGGGAGAUUAAUACGAGAUGGUGUUCUAAUUCCGCAUGUUAUUAGAACUAAAGAUUUAUCGGUAACGGAUAGGGAUGUGUGACAUUAGAUAGUUGGCGGGGUAACGGCCCACCAAGUCCACGAUGUCUAGGGGUUCUGAGAGGAAGGUCCCCCCACACUGGAACUGAGACACGGUCCAGACUCCUACGGGAGGCAGCAGUGAGGAAUAUUGGUCAAUGGGCGGAAGCCUGAACCAGCCAAGUAGCGUGAAGGAUUACAGCCCUACGGGUUUAAACUUCUUUGUUCGGGAAUAAAGUGCAGUAUGUAUACUGUUUUGUAUGUACCGUUCGAAUAAGCAUCGG
rnacentral:rRNA from 1 species